rnacentral:rRNA from 1 species
CGCAUCUGUGCAUGCAGCAUAUCAAUAAGCGGAGGAAAAGAAACUAACAAGGAUUCCCCUAGUAACGGCGAGUGAAGCGGGAAGAGCUCAAAUUUGAAAUCUUAAAGGGUUUCCCUUUACGAAUUGUAGUUUAAAGAAGUGUUUUCUGUUGAGGUUUUGGUAAAAGUUCUUUGGAAUAGGACAUCAUAGAGGGUGAGAAUCCCGUAUUUGACCUUUACUUUCAACUUUGUGAUACACUUUCAAAGAGUCGGAUUGUUUGGGAAUGCAGUCCAAAAUGGGUGGUAAAUUUCAUCUAAAGCUAAAUAUUGGCGAGAGACCGAUAGCGAACAAGUACCGUGAGGGAAAGAUGAAAAGAACUUUGAAAAGAGAGUUAAACAGUACGUGAAAUUGUCAAAAGGGAAGCGUUUGACACCAGUGUUGUUUUUCUGAAAAUCAAUUAAAGAACUGUUUAUGCUAAGCUGUUUAGACUUUAUCAGCUAUCUGUUUAGUUUUAGGCUUUUCUUUAAUGCACUUUUCAGUUAACAAGUCAACAUCAAUUUCUUUUGCUGUAAAAAAGCUUGAGGAAGGUGGCUUGAGAUUCGUCUUAAGUGUUUAUAGCCUCUUGCCUAUGCAGUCGGAGAGAUUGAGGUCUGCAGCGUAGAUCCUUCGGGGCUAAAUGCAUUUGUGCUAAGUUAUAAGCAUUUUAUAGACAACUUGUUGACUAUGAUUUGUCUUGUAGCUUACUCGCUUAUGUUAUUUUACCUACGCUUAGGAUGUUGAACGCGCACAGAGUCUC